CAUUAGAAUCACGACUAUGAUGCAUUGCAUUGGUUACUGUUGAUGUGGAUUAGACCCAGGCGACUUCAAUAGCCCACGGAUCUGUUAUGUCUAGGUAAGACCUGUGUGAGCUCCACAGGAGGGGCCGGGCGCUAGUACAUGUAGUGACGAGCUCCGUAUGGGGUCGUGCACCGACAGAGGGAGUUUUGGGGUCAUGUCUAAUCCGAGAUGUGAAAUGUUUGUGCUGUGACGCAUUUCAUGCGUGCAUGUAAUGAAUG
rnacentral:lncRNA from 1 species